rnacentral:rRNA from 1 species
AUUGAACGCUGGCGGCAGGCUUAACACAUGCAAGUCGAGCGAGCGGCGGACGGGUGAGUAAUGUCUGGGAAACUGCCUGAUGGAGGGGGAUAACUACUGGAAACGGUAGCUACUACCGCAUACCAUCAGAUGUGCCCAGAUGGGAUUAGCUAGUAGGUGGGGUAAUGGCUCACCUAGGCGCCGAUCCAUAGCUGGUCUGAGAGGAUGACCAGCCACACUGGACCUUAGACACGGUCCAGACUCCUACGGGAGGCAGCAGUGGGGAAUAUUUCACAAUGGGCGCAAGCCUGAUGCAGCCAUGCCGCGUGUGUGAAGAAGGCCUUCGGGUUGUAAAGCACUUUCAGCGAGGAGGCGUUACUCGCAGAAGAAGCACCGGCUAACUCCGUGCCAGCAGCCGCGGUAAUUC